rnacentral:rRNA from 1 species
UACGUAGGGUGCAAGCGUUUGUCCGGAAUUAUUGGGCGUAAAGAGCUCGUAGGCGGUUUGUCGCGUCGAAUGUGAAAACCCGGGGCUCAACCCCGGGCCUGCAUUCGAUACGGGCAGACUAGAGUUCGGUAGGGGAGUCUGGAAUUCCUGGUGUAGCGGUGAAAUGCGCAGAUAUCAGGAGGAACACCGGUGGCGAAGGCGGGACUCUGGGCCGAUACUGACGCUGAGGAGCGAAAAGCG